AAGUGACCUGCGGAAGGAUCAUUA
rnacentral:rRNA from 1 species